AACCAGUGCACGGGCUUUAUCUGCGCGCGUGAGGCUACAGCCGAUGCCAGAUUUUUGCUAGUGUAAGUACAGACCCGAGACUCGUUCUAGCCAGUUCAGUUGUUCGUUCGCUGCGUGGAACAUUCCCCAAAAGCCCUGCUCUGAUCACACUGCGUACUGACUAGCUGAUUCGGCUGACUGGGCUGACUGACUUGACUGCUACAGUGAAAACUAUACAACUGACCACUCCUUGUGGACUUCGGUUCGCUCGGGAAUCUUUGGAUACCACACAUGCGG
rnacentral:snRNA from 12 species